UACGUAGGGUGCGAGCGUUGUCCGGAAUUAUUGGGCGUAAAGAGCUCGUAGGCGGUUUGUUGCGUCGGCCGUGAAAACCUGCAGCUUAACUGUGGGCCUGCGGCCGAUACGGGCAGACUGGAGUACUGCAGGGGAGACUGGAAUUCCUGGUGUAGCGGUGGAAUGCGCAGAUAUCAGGAGGAACACCGGUGGCGAAGGCGGGUCUCUGGGCAGUAACUGACGCUGAGGAGCGAAAGCGUGGGGAGCGAACAGG
rnacentral:rRNA from 1 species